rnacentral:rRNA from 1 species
ACGCUCGACACCUACGAGAGGCAGCAGUCGGGAAUAUUGCGCAAUGGAGGAAACUCUGACGGGGCAGUGACGCCGCGUAUAGGAAGAAGGUUUUCGGAUUGUAAACUAUUGUCGUUAGGGAAGAGAAAGGACAGUACCUAAGGAGGAAGCUCCGGCUAACUACGUGCCAGUAGCCGCGGUAAUCUGAGCGGGCUGGCAAGGC